GGGGCUAUACAUGCAGUCGAACGCACUCUCGUUAGAUUGAAGAAGCUUGCUUCUGAUUGAUAACAUUUGAGUGAGUGGCGGACGGGUGAGUAACACGUGGGUAACCUGCCCUAAAGUGGGGGAUAACAUUUGGAAACAGAUGCUAAUACCGCAUAAAACCUAGCACCGCAUGGUGCAAGGUUGAAAGAUGGUUUCGGCUAUCACUUUAGGAUGGACCCGCGGUGCAUUAGUUAGUUGGUGAGGUAAAGGCUCACCAAGACCGUGAUGCAUAGCCGACCUGAGAGGGUAAUCGGCCACACUGGGACUGAGACACGGCCCAGACUCCUACGGGAGGCAGCAGUAGGGAAUCUUCCACAAUGGACGAAAGUCUGAUGGAGCAACGCCGCGUGAGUGAAGAAGGUUUUCGGAUCGUAAAACUCUGUUGUUGGAGAAGAACGUAUUUGAUAGUAACUGAUCAGGUAGUGACGGUAUCCAACCAGAAAGCCACGGCUAACUACGUGCCAGCAGCCGCGGUAAUACGUAGGUGGCAAGCGUUGUCCGGAUUUAUUGGGCGUAAAGCGAGCGCAGGCGGUUUCUUAAGUCUGAUGUGAAAGCCUUCGGCUCAACCGAAGAAGUGCAUCGGAAACUGGGAAACUUGAGUGCAGAAGAGGACAGUGGAACUCCAUGUGUAGCGGUGAAAUGCGUAGAUAUAUGGAAGAACACCAGUGGCGAAGGCGGCUGUCUGGUCUGUAACUGACGCUGAGGCUCGAAAGCAUGGGUAGCAAACAGGAUUAGAUACCCUGGUAGUCCAUGCCGUAAACGAUGAGUGCUAGGUGUUGGAGGGUUUCCGCCCUUCAGUGCCGCAGCUAACGCAUUAAGCACUCCGCCUGGGGAGUACGACCGCAAGGUUGAAACUCAAAGGAAUUGACGGGGGCCCGCACAAGCGGUGGAGCAUGUGGUUUAAUUCGAAGCAACGCGAAGAACCUUACCAGGUCUUGACAUCCUUUGACCACUCUAGAGAUAGAGCUUUCCCUUCGGGGACAAAGUGACAGGUGGUGCAUGGUUGUCGUCAGCUCGUGUCGUGAGAUGUUGGGUUAAGUCCCGCAACGAGCGCAACCCUUAUUACUAGUUGCCAGCAUUUAGUUGGGCACUCUAGUGAGACUGCCGGUGACAAACCGGAGGAAGGUGGGGACGACGUCAAAUCAUCAUGCCCCUUAUGACCUGGGCUACCACGUGCUACAAUGGAUGGUAAAACAAUUCGCGAAACCCG
rnacentral:rRNA from 1 species